rnacentral:rRNA from 1 species
CCUACGGGAGACAGCAGUGGGGAAUAUUGCACAAUGGGCGAAAGCCUGAUGCAGCAACGCCGCGUGAGCGAUGAAGGCCUUCGGGUCGUAAAGCUCUGUCCUCAAGGAAGAUAAUGACGGUACUUGAGGAGGAAGCCCCGGCAAAUUCGGUGCCAGCAGCCGCGGUCAUACGAAGGGGGCUAGCGUUAUCCGGAAUUACUGGGCGUAAGGGGUGCGUAGGUGGUUUCUUAAGUCAGAGGUGAAAGGCUACGGCUCAACCGUAGUAAGCCUUUGAAACUGGGGAACGUGAGUGCAGGAGAGGAGAGUGGAAUUCCAAGUGGAGCGGUGAAAUGCGUAGAUAUUAGGAGGAACACCAGUUGCGAAGGCGGCUCUCUGGACUGAAACGGACACUGAGGCACGAAAGCGUGGGGAGCAAACAGGAUUAGAUACCCGAGUAGUC